GUAUGUCCAAUCUUCAGACAUUUCUUCAUCAAGAGGCAGUCCUCUCAAUUCAGUGGGUCAAAUGCCACAUGCUGCGUUCGAGGAUAUAUCAAGAACUAAAUCAAAAGAUUCAAAAUCGGUCAGGCCUGGUCGUGCAUCCCAUGAAGAAAAGAAAAUCAACAAGAGUCAAGAUGAAAAAAGAUCCAGGACUCGAAAGAUGAUGGAAUUUCACAAUAUCAAGAUAAGCCAGGUAUUUGUUUCGUUGUUUUAUAUUAUCAUGUAAUACAUUCCAGAGAGAAUGGAUAUUUUGCUUAAUUAGCUCUUUUUUUUCUGUCAACUAUAUAGGUUGAACUUAUUGUUACAUAUGAAGGCUCAAGAUUUGCAGUAAAUGAGUUAAGGCUCUUGUUAGACACUUUCAAUUGUGUUGAAUUUACUGGCACAUGGCGAAGAUUAUUUUCAAAAAUAAAGAAACGUAUCAUUUGGGGAGUCCUCAAGUCCGUCACGGGAAUGCAGGCAAGUUUUUGUUUGGUAAAAUUAAAGAUUUACAUUAUAAAAUGAUGGGCAGUGUCCAAUUGUAACAAGUUAUAUGCAUAUACCAUAUAUAUAUUUCUACCACGUACAUCGAAUGUAUUAAAAUUUGAAAAUAGUGUAACCUAUAGAAAAGUAUUUUCUGUUUUUCUUUUCCGUUUCCGUUUCGUUAUUUAUUUAUAUUUAAAAAAAAUCUUAGUUUGUGAAAAAAUUCCGUCUAAAUUACUGUGUUUGUCUCAUCUUUGUAGGGAAAGAAAUUCAAAGAUAAGUCACAAAACAGUGUACCUGACCUUGAUGAGUAUUUCAGUGAUAUCGAUGGUGGUCCAUCAGAUGACUUGCCUCAGUUGUUUAAACGUACUAGUGACGGAGCUGGUGAAGGCUUUGUUAAUUCAAUAAAGGGACUGUUCAAUUCCCAACGUCGAAAAGCAAAAGCAUUAAUACGAACUAUGAGAGGCGAUCUAGACAAUGAAGCAGGCCACCCAGAGUGGACCGAGGUUGAAAUUGAAACUCCUGCUCUUGCCAGGCAAAUAACAAUGAAAGGGAAAAAACUAAUAAGGAAGCACACAAAGAAGUUCCACCGGCCUAAAGGACUAAAGAAAUCAGGUGAUGAUAUUUUCAAAAAAGAGUGAUGAACAAUGGAUAUUACUGAAUGUUUUGUCUAAACCUUGCAAUUUUUAUCAUUCCACAGAAACAACAUCACAAUCUAGAGGAUCACAACCAUCUUCACCUCCUAAGGAUACAGGUCAAAAUCAAAGUGAUUCGUCAUCUGCAUCCCCUUCCCACAACGAGGAUACUUCAAAAGAAUAAUACUUAUAUUUUUUCUGAAAGGCCUACCAUACAGGUAAUGGUUUUUUUUAUAAGGAACAGCCGAACAGGCGGUACAAAUAUGGUAAAAAGUCAGCUGAAUUUAUUGAUUCGGCUACUCUAAAAGCUUAAGAGUAAAUGCUGAGCAUACCCAAUAUGCAUUUGGGCAAUGGCGAUGUUCUCAUAUUCAUUUUACAGCAGCUACGGUUGAAUUAUAUACUAGUUAUCUAUUAUAUACAUUCAAUCCGUGAUCCCAGAGAGCGAAAGUGGCAACAGGUCAGCCUUCAACUUCAAUUCGAUUGUAAUUAUGUUGUUCUGAUGUGCAUGUGGUGAUGCUUAUUUAUGUAUAUUAUAUGUAUAUUUUUUUGGCCACAAGAGUUAUUUAUUUAGCAAUUUGGCAGUAGAAACUAGAUCAUACCUUAUUUUUGUAAAAGAAUCAUAUUAGUCUAUUAGAGUAAAACUGAGUUAAAGCAAUAAAAAGUUGUGUAUACAUAACAUUCUUUUUUUAUUCAGGCCUUAAGGGCAAUGCUUUCCAUUGAUUUGAAGUGAAUGUGAAACAGAAAGAUUGAAAGAAUGACGAUGUUACCAUUUGCAGCCCGUCCAUUUGAAGGCGUUGAGUUCCAAAUAUGGCGUCAGUUUCUUUGAUCUUCAUGAUCUAAAAUAGGUCUUAUUUUAAUGUUUUUAUCCUCGAGACCUCAACCAUUCA
rnacentral:lncRNA from 1 species